rnacentral:rRNA from 1 species
GAUGAACGCUGGCGGCGUGCUUAACACAUGCAAGUCGAACGGUGAACACGGAGCUUGCUCUGUGGGAUCAGUGGCGAACGGGUGAGUAACACGUGAGCAACCUGCCCCUGACUCUGGGAUAAGCGCUGGAAACGGCGUCUAAUACUGGAUAUGUGACGUGAUCGCAUGGUCUGCGUCUGGAAAGAAUUUCGGUUGGGGAUGGGCUCGCGGCCUAUCAGCUUGUUGGUGAGGUAAUGGCUCACCAAGGCGUCGACGGGUAGCCGGCCUGAGAGGGUGACCGGCCACACUGGGACUGAGACACGGCCCAGACUCCUACGGGAGGCAGCAGUGGGGAAUAUUGCACAAUGGGCGCAAGCCUGAUGCAGCAACGCCGCGUGAGGGAUGACGGCCUUCGGGUCGUAAACCUCUUUUAGCAGGGAAGAAGCGAAAGUGACGGUACCUGCAGAAAAAGCGCCGGCUAACUACGUG